rnacentral:rRNA from 1 species
UGCCAGCCGCCGCGGUAACACGGGGGGCGCAAGCGUUAUUCGGAAUUAUUGGGCGUAAAGGGCGCGUAGGCGGAUUAGUAAGUUAGGGGUGAAAUCCCGGGGCUCAACCCCGGAACUGCCUCUAAUACUGCUAGUCUUGAGUUCGAGAGAGGUGAGUGGAAUUCCGAGUGUAGAGGUGAAAUUCGUAGAUAUUCGGAGGAACACCAGUGGCGAAGGCGGCUCACUGGCUCGAUACUGACGCUGAGGUGCGAAAGCGUGGGGAGCAAACAGGAUUAGAUA